rnacentral:tRNA from 1 species
GGCCGAGUGGAUAUCACACUCGACUUGCACGCCAGAGGUCCCGGGUUCGAUUCCCGGCUUCGCCU